rnacentral:rRNA from 1 species
CCUACGGGAGGCAGCAGUGAGGAAUAUUGGUCAAUGGGCGCGAGCCUGAACCAGCCAAGUCGCGUGAGGGAAGACGGCCCUACGGGUUGUAAACCUCUUUUGCCGGGGAGCAACGGGCGCCACGUGUGGCGCCACUGCGAGUACCCGGAGAAAAAGCAUCGGCUAACUCCGUGCCAGACGCCGCGGUAAUACGGAGGAUGCGAGCGUUAUCCGGAUUUUUUGGGUUAAAGGGGUGCGUAGGCGGAGCGUUAAGUCAGUGGUAAAAUUGAGGGGCUCAACCCCUUCCAGCCAUUGAAACUGGCGCUCUUGAGUGGAAGAGAAGUAUGCGGAAUGCGGGGUGUAGCGGUGAAAUGCAUAGAUAUCACGCAGAACCCCGAUUGCGAAGGCAGCAUGCCGGCGUCCGACUGACGCUGAAGCACGAAAGCGUGGGGAUCGAACAGGAUUAGAUACCCCUGUAGUC